rnacentral:ncRNA from 2 species
AGCUUAAAAAAAGCGCCAGACGCACAGGUGUGGGCAGGCCGCGGAGGCUUUGCCCGGUGACAGCACCCCAAGCGUGACGAGGAGAAGUGUGAUCGAAGGUUUCGGCGGAUGCACUUCCGGCUGCAUGAAGCGGGCAGUCGUCAGACGAUGUACAAAGUGUGAUGCGGUGUCGGCACCCCGUGGAGAAUCACUCAGAAAAGCAUCGUUAUUUCCGUGA